AAGAGACAAAGCGACUUGCAACAAGUAAAACAAAAACAAAAAACAAAGAUAGCAUACAAAUUGCGUUAAAACAAAACUCUAGAUUCCCAGCCAGAGGUGUUUGCCAGCCUUGCUGCCUAAUGUAUUUUAAGCUAAAGAUGCCAAGGAGUGAAACUGGGACUUUAUCCAUGUGCUCUACUUAUUCAGAUACAGUACUGUACUGUGUCACACUGAGCUAUGAUAGUCUGCCAGCCCUGAUGUCCCCCCUCCCAUAUCUGCUCAGCUGUAAUAGCAUACUCAAAUUCAUCGUGAUUCAGGGACUCUGUGAGGCUGAAGGAUCCACAGUUGGGAAGCAGGGAAAGUUGAAUUCAAGGGCCACGGGCAUAGUUCACUGAAAGAAGAGUAUGGUAGAGAAAGCCAAAGGUAGCAGUAGACAGAGACUUUAAAAUGCCCCUCACCAUGACUGUUAAAUCCUGUAUCUGCAAGACAACUGCACUCAAUCAUCAGCAUCCAUCCUUUGACCCAACCUGAGGAUGCUCUGGCUGCUCCCAACUCUCCAGCAAGUAAGUCCCUUACUCUUUGCCUUAUAAAAUCUCCACACAUGCCAAAACAGCUCCCACAACAGCAGCACCUAAAGUUCAAUUGAUUCAGGUCCCCUUCUCCACUGAUAAUGGCAAAUGGUCAAUACCACAUACCUUGGCGGGUGGCGCUGUAGUCUAAACCACUGAGCCUCUCGGGCUUGCCGGUUAGGAGGUCGGCGGUUCAAAUCCCUGCGACGGAGUGAGCUCCCAUUGCUCUGUCUCAGCUCCUGCCAACCUAACAGGUCGAAAGCACACCAGUGCUAGUAGAUAAAUAGGUACCGCUGUGAUGGGAAGGUAAACAGUGUUUCCAUGCGCUCUGGUUUCCUUCAUGGUGUUCCAUUGUGCCCAAAGUGAUUUAGUCAUGCUGGCCACAUGACCCGGAAAGUUGUCUGUGGACAAACACCGGCUCCUUUGGUCUGAAAGCGAGAUGAGCGCUGCAACCCCCUAGUCACAUUUGACUGGACUUAACCGUCCAAGGGUCCUUUACCUUCACCUUCUACCAAUUCUACAUACCUUGGUGGGCGGGCUGGUGUUGUUGAGGCAUGUGGUAACACAGCCAUUGUUACGUCAGCCCCUUGCCCCUGCUAAGGAAGUUGCUUUUUUGCCUGGAUAACAGUUCAGUAAUUCAUGAAUAGUAUAAGGAGGAUGCUGUGGAAUCCCCCACUUUGGACCCGCAAUGGCCUUACAUUUUGCAGCAGUGCUCUAGAACUAAGCAAAGAGACUCUAGAUAAAAUAUUCACAACAGCUUGCUCAAAAAGGAGAGGUCCAUCAAGUUAAAUAUGGGUGAAAGGGAUGUCAUUGGAGACAGUGGGUCAGCUGACUCAACAUUAAAAAAAAAAUCCCCAGAUGAAGCUUAUUGCAAGACUAAGGUACUGGUACCUGCACUUUCCUUUUACAAUAAUGGUGCUGGGAUUAGGGAACUCGUGCUAGUGGUCCAGGUUAUAAAACCCACGGUGCCUGAUACCAGUUCUCCUAUACCUAUUUUGUUAGUACUGUGCUUCAUGCAUCACCCACUUCCUUUUAAUGCACACAUACAUGCAAAAGUAAGCUCUGCUGAAUGCAGUGGGACUUACAUGUUAAGAAUGGAAGAAGAGCCCUGCUGAAUCAGACCAAAGGUCCAUCUAGUCCAGCGUGCUGCCAAUGUGUACACACUUCACCAUGUGUAUGUGGUAGAAUACACUGACCUAUGCAUGAGAACUCACAAAUGGCAUGUUGCCUCUGUGUGGAACCCAUCUAUUCAGUCUCAUAACGUGAACUCCUCCCUGAGUUUCUUGCGCCAUCGUGUUCUAACUCCUGCUGCUGGCAACCUGCCCAGUUGGCAAUCUGCCACUGAUCCAUAAUGGGAUCCCAAGUGACCGUUUGAAAAUUACUGCUUUGUAGGCUGAUGUGGUGCAUGGUAACCUGGUAGUUCAAUGUGACUUGCUCCUGAAAAGUGUGUAUAGGUUUGCAGUCAAAGACUCCCUUCCUUGCUCUCCCUGGAGUUACACAGCAAGAGGCAAACCUUUUCUGAAACCCACCCCCCUUUCUGCUAAUAACACUGUCUUGAAAUCAAACCAACAUCUUCAAGCGCAUAGCUGAAUCCAGAUAAUGAAUCCAGAUCUUCCUUGUAGUACAGGACCCCAUGGUAAGGUAGGCAUACCUUCCAGAACAAGGCAUAUUGUACCACUUCUGUUCAGUAAAAUUGGCUCGUCUUUGCAAAGCACAUUUCAAAAUGACAAGCCACCUUUUAAAAAAUGUUAAAAUAUCCUAUUUUUAAAGCCAAGCAUUAAUUUCAUGGCCCAAGUUCCCUAAAUAUAGGAGGAAUGCUGAGCCAGCCAUAAGUAGAGCAGAGCAGGACUCUGUUCUAUCACAUAAGGAAAUAUGCUGGAGGUGUAAAGUCCAAGGCUUAAAUAGCGAUUCAAGAGAAGGAGGCUCACAUGUGGGUUUCAGGUUGCAUUACAUACAAGCCUAUAAUAAAACCCUGUGCUGUCCAGGGUGUCUGCCAAACAUUAAAUUUACUGUAUGAAGAAGAUGCCUAGAACACUAGCUGCAUUUGCAAAAAGAGGUUAAGAUCUAGGAAAGGGAGUGAUAGAUGUACCAGUAUGUCACUGACUUUCUGUGUCCUAUACUAAGUCCUAGAGUGAAGUCAGGGUAGGGUUGCCACAUUUCCUGGAAAUUAAUAACAAUCUAAGCCUACUACCAAGUUCUGAGACAGUGCAGCAAGUGACCCAGAAAUAGCCACAUACUGUACUCUCUCUGUACACAGAAUGUUUGAGCGCAGAAAGAUGUGAGUUUGAGGCUGUGAUUCUUGACACAUGUACCUGAGUGUAAGUCUCAUUGAGCUUCAGGAAAGAGACAUUAUAGGAUUGCCCUAUAAAUCACACCUCAUUAUUUUUCAAGUUACGGUUUCCUUGUCUUACAAAUAAGAGAGCAGGAAUAGCCCAGUGGGGAACAGAACCUAGCAUAUUCUGCUAAAUAUGCUGGCAAGCACCUGCUUUAACAUGCUAAAUUAAAGCAGCAACAACUUUCAUUUCCUUCUUGGGUUGCUGCUGUUCAAUUAAGCAAGCAAUUGUCAUUGUGCCUCAGUUUUUGACCGGGGGGGGGGGCGGGCAGGGGGAAUCAAGAAGUACGUGUUCAGUCCUGACCAUUGAGCAAAUUGAAAUAAUAAAAUGGUGGCAUUCUAAUUGAUGCUAUGGCUAUCCUGUUCUCAUUCCACAGUAAAUAAAGGUAAUGCAGGACUCCUAAGGUUUUGCUGCUAUGAAUUUAACGCAGCUACUCUUCUGCAAACCUUUUUCAAUUCUCAAAUGUGCUUUUAAAAAUGAAACCUUUUUACACAACCUAACCUCAAACAUUUAUUUUUCAGGAGGAUUCCGUAACAUUCUGUACUCUAGAAUAUUUACUCAGGUGAAAGAGACUCUCACUGAUGUAUGUGGAUUCACUUUUUCUGACCUUUAAAUAAUAUUUGAGAAUCAGGGGCGCCAACUUGAAUAAAAUAUUGGAGGGGGCAGGUAAGACCCAUCCCACUAAUCCAACACAAGCCACAGC